rnacentral:rRNA from 1 species
GACAACUAGGAUGUUGGCUUAGAAGCAGCCACUCAUUUAAAGAGUGCGUAAUAGCUCACUAGUCAAGAGAUCCUGCGCCGAAGAUGUCCGGGGCUCAAACUUACCACCGAAGCUAUGGGUGUACACUAUGUGUACGCGGUAGAGGAGCUUUCUGUAUGGGUUGAAGUCGUACCGUAAGGAGCGGUGGACUGUACAGAAGUGAGAAUGCUGGCAUAAGUAGCGAGAAAUAAGUGAGAAUCUUAUUGGCCGAAAACCUAAGGUUUCCUGAGGAAGGUUCGUCCGCUCAGGGUUAGUCGGGACCUAAGCCGAGGCCGAAAGGCGUAGGUGAUGGACAAUCGGUUGAUAUUCCGAUACCACCUAUUUACGUUUGAGAAAUGGGGUGACGCAGUAGGAUAAGAUGUGCGCACUAUUGGAUGUGCGUCUAAGCACUUAGGCAUGCUUGAUAGGCAAAUCCGUCGAGCUAAGCUGAGGUGUGAUGGGGAGCCAUUUAUGGCGAAGUAUCUGAUUCCACACUGCCAAGAAAAGCCUCUAUCGAGUGAAUAGGUGCCCGUACCGCAAACCGACACAGGUAGGUGAGGAGAGAAUCCUAAGGCCAUCGGAAGAAUUGCUGUUAAGGAACUCGGCAAAUUGACCCCGUAACUUCGGGAGAAGGGGUGCCUACGAAAGUAGGCCGCAGAGAAUAGGCCCAAGCAACUGUUUAGCAAAAACACAGGUCUCUGCUAAAGCGAAAGCUGAUGUAUAGGGGCUGACGCCUGCCCGGUGCUGGAAGGUUAAGGGGAACACUUAGCGUAAGCGAAGGUGUGAACUUAAGCCCCAGUAAACGGCGGCCGUAACUAUAACGGUCCUAAGGUAGCGAAAUUCCUUGUCGGGUAAGUUCCGACCCGCACGAAUGGCGUAAUGAUUUGGGCACUGUCUCAACAGCAAAUCCGGCGAAAUUGUAGUGCAAGUGAAGAUGCUUGCUACCCGCGAUUGGACGGAAAGACCCCGUAGAGCUUUACUGUAGCUUAGCAUUGAAUCUCGGUAUUGUCUGUACAGGAUAGGUGGGAGACUUGGAAGCUUAGGCGUCAGCCUGAGUGGAGUCAUCCUUGGGAUACCACCCUGACAGUACUGGGGUUCUAACCGGCGGCCAUGAAUCUGGUCACGGGACAUUGUUAGGUGGGCAGUUUGACUGGGGCGGUCGCCUCCUAAAAAGUAACGGAGGCGCCCAAAAGUUCCCUCAGCGCGGUCGGAAAUCGCGCGAAGAGUGCAAAGGCAGAAGGGAGCUUGACUGCGACACAUACAGGUGGAGCAGGGACGAAAGUCGGGCUUAGUGAUCCGGUGGUACCUCGUGGGAGGGCCAUCGCUCAACGGAUAAAAGCUACCUCGGGGAUAACAGGCUGAUCUCCCCCAAGAGUCCACAUCGACGGGGAGGUUUGGCACCUCGAUGUCGGCUCGUCGCAUCCUGGGGCUGAAGUAGGUCCCAAGGGUUGGGCUGUUCGCCCAUUAAAGCGGCACGCGAGCUGGGUUCAGAACGUCGUGAGACAGUUCGGUCCCUAUCCGUCGCGGGCGUAGGAAAUUUGAGAGGAGCUGUCCUUAGUACGAGAGGACCGGGAUGGACCAACCUCUGGUGCACCAGUUGUCACGCCAGUGGCACAGCUGGGUAGCUAUGUUGGGACUGGAUAAACGCUGAAAGCAUCUAAGCGUGAAGCCAACCUCAAGAUGAGAUUUCCCAUAGCGUAAGCUAGU